UACGGAGGGGGCUAGCGUUGUUCGGAAUUACUGGGCGUAAAGCGCGCGUAGGCGGACCUGCAAGUCGGGGGUGAAAGCCCGAGGCUCAACCUCGGAACUGCCUUCGAUACUGCCUUGCUAGAGUACUGGAGAGGAGAUUGGAAUUUACGGUGUAGCAGUGAAAUGCGUAGAUAUCGUAAGGAAGACCAGUGGCGAAGGCGGAUCUCUGGACAGUUACUGACACUGAGGCACGAAGGCCAGGGGAGCAAACGGG
rnacentral:rRNA from 1 species